AAUCAACGCUGGCGGCGUGCCUAAUACAUGCAAGUCGAACGCGAAAGUCCCGCAAGGGAUGAGUAGAGUGGCAAACGGGUGAGUAACGCGUGGGUGACCUGCCUUCGAGUGGGGGAUAAC
rnacentral:rRNA from 1 species